GGGUGCAAUCAUUUUAGCACUUAUGCAUCGGAUUCCAUCAGAACUCUAAAGUUAAGCGUGCUUGGGGGAGAAUAGUUUUAAGAUGGGCUUGUCUUGUGACUUUCA
rnacentral:rRNA from 1 species